AAGAGCAGCUGUAAAACUAACUCGUGACGUCACACGAUAACCUUUAACAAUAACAACAAACAUGACGAGCACGUGCCCAGCCUUUGGGUGUUGAUCCCAGUUUAAAGACCAGAUAUAAAUUUCUAUUACGUUCCGAAGGAUAAAGAACUGAGAAGAGGAUGGAUUCACUCACGCAAGAGGAAAGACUAUAAAUACUAAAAAUGCCCAAAUUUGCAAUUGGCAUUUUGAGGCCCGUGUUUGAUAACUUGAAAUAUAAACUGCAGGGACUGCCAGUACCAAGAAGAGUUGUAAGGAUUAACAAUAGAGCAAUACCAACAUUACAAUGAAGCUUUUGGGAAUUUCAACUUUACCAUCACAGCUGAAAAUGAUCAACUGGAGCAUAGAACAAGAGCUACCACUACCACCACCAUCCAAGUAUUUGUCAGUCUUACUACUGUACUGAAUGACUAUUCAUUCAUGGACAUCUUUUAAUCAUAAACAGUAAUGUUGUAUUGUGUAUAUUAAAUGUUUUUUGGUUGUUACAGGUGAAUUAAAGACUAAACCUUGGGAAAUUGAACUGCACCAUCAUAACUGAAAUUUAUAACUGGAGCUGCCAGUGUAGAACUGUAACAUAAUCUGGUACAUUAAAGAAAGUGAACACCUCCAGGACCUGCCAAAAGUGUGCAAGCACAGGAGUACUGUACAAACAAGGGAAGUGGAGCCGAUCCAGGAUGAUGAGCACACCAGGUGUCACGUGGGCACAGUUAACAGCAUCAGGUGCGGCGUGAUGGACUGCUGCAACACAUAUUCCUGAUUUGUAGAACUGGUGGGUCUUAAGUCUUCAGAUUGUGUGCUGUGUAUCGUGUCCUGCUGUACAAGCUUUACAAAUGUAUACAUGAUGGAACACUGUGACUACAACACCACACUGUGCCACACUGACCUACAUUACACCGAGAGUGUACUCUUCAUGUACAAAUUUUGCCAGCCCACAUACACAAGUACUCCUGGCCACUGGUUGAAGCAAAGCCUUAUCCAGCACUCAUGAAAUUGGCUAUCAACACAAUAAAUAAUAACAAAGUUGUGCAUCAACACUUUAAAUAGUACUAAAAUCUAUUUUUCACAGGAAAUAAUCAUCUGUAUAGACUGCACUUUCUAUUAAAAACACAAACAAACAAAACCAUGCAAACUAGUCUAUGUUACAUCUGCAAGCUCAAAGUCAAAUUAGUUCCCAAGAAUGAAUAUAGAGUUCAAAUUAUAUUAUUUACAAUAAAUACAUUUUUAUAAGUCCAUAAAUUUUCGUAUGGAUAAUUCCAGCUUACUACACAAUACUUUACAACAUAAGCAGUGGUAAGCAAUUUGUUAUUAUGUUACAUAAACAAACUGACGAUCACUUUUCCAUCAUGGCCUUGGAUACAAAAGCUUUUUUUUUAACAUAAAUUUUCCUGUACACACAUACUUACAUGUACGUGAAUUAGGACUCUCCUGUUAAUUCUCACUGUACUGUACUGUACUGUACAGUAUAUUGAAAUGAAAUUCCCAUUAAACUGGAUCAAGUAAGAUCUGUUUCACAACAUCUUGCCUUUUCUUCUUUUUGUGUAAAUAUUAGCCUCUUAUAUCAUUAUUCUCAUUUAAAAUGGAAAGUAAAAUAAAUUAAAUAGGGUUAGGGAGAACCAAAAGUUCACUUGAAUGGAGACAGAAUGGAAGAAGUGUGAUGCUUCAAACAUCCAGGAAUGGAUGUAUCAGCGAAUGGAAGAACGGGAGACAAACUGAACCACAGAACAGAAGGAAAUUAAUCAAGAGAUGUAUUAAAAAAGUGUGCAGAGCCAGAGGACUGUGUGAAGGGAGGCAAAGUUUGGGAUUUAUAAAGAAACACUGAACCGACAUUACCAACCAUGGACUCCAGAUGGAAGAUGAAACACCAAAUUGAAAUGAACAAACUGACGCACUUGAGAUCAAUACUGUAUGUGCAGUGAAAAGUUGGGGACAAAAAUAUCCAGGAAGCAAGUACAGUAUAAGUGAGUGAAUGGAAAAUGUACUGAUAGAUGGUGUUGGCUUGUGUCAGACACCAGGAGCUAUACAAGAAAAAAAACUUGUCAAAAUCUGUCAAACAUUACUAUAGAAAUUCUCAAGUAGGGUAUAUGAUCAACUAUCAACACUUUGCAAGGGAAAAAACAGGAAGAAUUCACACCAAAAAUAAAAAGACAAACUUAA